AGCAACAAAGCAUCUCAGCCUGCUCUAUGAGCUGGAUAUUUCGUAGGAAGGAGCCGAUUUGGCGAAAGUUACGUAAACAAUGGAAUUGUCUCAGUUUGCGCCUUUGUUUCGUUUGACAGCCCUCCAGGGAGUCAUAGUGAUUGCUGGAGACGGUGAACUAACACUGUGGGGACCCUUGUGCUAAACGUGUCAAGUGGCACAACAAGGAUAGGAACACGGGUCCUUUGGACUCCACAGCUUCUGCUCCUUCCAGAUUAAGCCACACUGCUUUCUCCAAGUUGUUACUGUAGUAACAUCAUUUUGGCUGCAGUUUGUGGAUGGGUUGGAAGAUGGGAAGUCAAUGCAGAAGCACCGUUGAAAGUAUUCCACUGGGCAGGGCGCGGUGGCUCACGCUUGUAAUCCCAGUACUUCGGGAGGCCGAAGCGGGAGGAUCGCUUGAGCCCAGAGGUUCGAUACCAGGCUGGGCAACACAGUGAGACCUCGUCUCUAUAUAGAAAAAUAAACAAACAAAAAAUUUAAAAAGAAAAGUAGGGCCAGGAGCUAUGACUCACGCCUGUAAUCCCAGCACUUUGGGAGGCCAAGGCGGGUGGAUCGCCUGAGGUCAGGAAUUCGAGACCAGCCUGGCCAAAAUAGUGAAACCCCGUCUUUACUAAAAAUACAAAAAAUUAGCUGGGCAUGGUGGCGGGUGCCUGUAAUCCCAGCUACUCGGGAGGCUGAGGCAGGAGAAUUGCUUGAGCCCGGGAGGCGGAGGUUGCAGUGAGCCGAGAUCACGCCAUUGCACUCCAGCCUGGGCAACAAGAGCGAAACUCUGUCUCAAAAAACAAAAGUAUUCCAUUGAUUCUGUAAUCAAAAUAAAACACGUUAAAUAUUAAGCAUGGUAUUAAUACUCCAUGUAUACUCCAG
rnacentral:lncRNA from 1 species